rnacentral:rRNA from 1 species
UACGUAGGGACCAAGCGUUGUUCGGAUUUACUGGGCGUAAAGGGCGCGUAGGCGGCAAUUCAAGUCAGCUGUGAAAUCUCCGAGCUUAACUCGGAACGGUCAGCUGAUACUGUUUUGCUAGAGUGCAGAAAGGGCAACCGGAAUUCUUGGUGUAGCGGUGAAAUGCGUAGAUAUCAAGAGGAACACCUGAGGCGAAGGCGGGUUGCUAGGCUGACACUGACGCUGAGGCGCGAAAGCUAGGGUAGCAAACGGGG